ACCGGCGAUUUCCGAAUGGGGAAACCCAGUGUGAUUCGUCACACUAUCAUUAACUGAAUCCAUAGGUUAAUGAGGCGAACCGGGGGAACUGAAACAUCUAAGUACCCCGAGGAAAAGAAAUCAACCGAGAUUCCCCCAGUAGCGGCGAGCGAACGGGGAGGAGCCCAGAGCCUGAAUCAGUGUGUGUGUUAGUGGAAGCGUCUGGAAAGGCGCGCGAUACAGGGUGACAGCCCCGUACACAAAAAUGCACAUACUGUGAGCUCGAUGAGUAGGGCGGGACACGUGGUAUCCUGUCUGAAUAUGGGGGGACCAUCCUCCAAGGCUAAAUACUCCUGACUGACCGAUAGUGAACCAGUACCGUGAGGGAAAGGCGAAAAGAACCCCGGCGAGGGGAGUGAAAAAGAACCUGAAACCGU
rnacentral:rRNA from 1 species